UGUCACUUACAGAGGCACCCUGCCGCUAGGUGGUGGGGCUAGGAUUUGAACUCGGGUCUGUCUAACUCUAAGUCCACAGCCUGUUCCACAAAAAACCCCGUCAUGCUGGUGAGCUCCAUUAAACCUCCUCAGAGCUUCGUUCCAGUCUUUUCACUUGCAAACCCAGUCAGCGAGUUCUUUAUUUCCACAAAUGGUGCUAUUAAAGUAAUGGCAUUGGGAACUACAGGCUAGCCUCUGAGCACUCACACAUCUCUAUAACCUUCCCCAUGUUCUGGCUCCCCCAAAAACACAUUAGAAAUUCCAGGAGUCGAAGGCCAUUUGGAAACAUUCACUAGCUGCCAUUUUGUUUCAAAAUGGCAAAAAGAACCUCCUGCCCUAAACUCCAGCUCCUCCCUGCUCGGCCUCUAACUAAGAGCUAAAUAAGGCCAGAGUCAGUUACCUCCUUUGAAAAUCCCUUGUAAAGGGCGUUAGCAGACCACAUUAGGCAGAAAAAAAAACGGGCACGCCAGGUUGAAAUAGAGGCCUCUUUCUGUUUGGUCAGUAAGCAGCUGUGGAAGAUGCGUAGGAUGGAACUAAAUUUAUUUGUUCGGUUCUUUCUCGAAACAGCAGCGACGGGGCUCAGGACGCAGCUGUCUUCUUGCCUGAGAGUCGUCUGCAGGCUCCAACAUGCACACAGGCUGGGGCUGACUCUCCAGGAUCCAGAUUCCUUUCCAUUUUGUUCCCUCUGGCUCCAGGCAGGGCUUCCAGAGCCUGCCGUCCAGAGCUAGAUCCUAGGCCAGUAGGUAGAAAUUUGUAUUUGCCUCCCCAGACCCAGGGUGAAAUCGUGACCUUAAAAAAAAAAAAACACACACACACACAUACAAACUGCAAAAAGUAGAUACUGAGCUGUGGUGAAGGCAACUUGCAGCCACACCCUGGAAAACCACAGAAGUCCCUUUAGCCUCUGCUUUCACUGCUCAGACCUGUGGGAAACUUGUAAGACACAAUACAUGUGAGGAGGGGGUGGGGGCAUCUUGGGAGGUGCCUUCCAAACACAAAGCUGGGCUGGUUUGCCAGAGAACUUUCUGGAGUCUGUCUCCCCUAUUUAUUUAUUCCAUCAAGCCCAGCUGAUGGCCAUAUUGUGUCCAGCCCUGGAGUAUACUGGUCAAAGUGGUUUUUCAGAAGUGCUUUGUGAGACUUUCAAAAGGUAGACUAUGAGCCUGAAGCUGCUGGUGAUCAUCUCUGACACUGACUGGGGAGAGCCUACCUGAGAAUGACAUCAAAACCAAGGAAAGCAGAGAUAAGGGACAGAGAGAUUCCUGAUGAUGUUGUAUGAGCCCCUGGAUCCAGAAGUACCUACAAACUUCCCAGUUCCAUAAGAAAAUAAAUAUCCUUUAUGCUUAAGAUGAUUUAAGUUGGUCAGUUAUAAACAAAAGCAUUCUGACUCGUGUUAACGUCAGCAACUCAAAGAGGUGGGCAUUCUGUUAUCUCCAUUUUAUGAGUAGGAGGCUUAGAGGAAUUUAAUGACUUGUGCAAAAUCACACAAUUAAUAAGUGGCAGCACUGUGAUUUGAAUCCAGAGCUGUGAUCUGAUCUAUUUGACCCUGGGAAGGCAGAAAGGUGAUGUUGUUUCUGGUUAGUGCACCUAGGUGUUUGGGUCAUGCCUUGAAAAAGGCAUGUAAAUCUCAAGGCCAUGAAUGGUUCAUCUAUAAAGGAUUAUAUAUAUAUAUAUAUAUAUGUAUAUAUAUAUAUAUAUAUAUAUGACAAUUAACUCUGUGUUUGCUCUCCAUAACUAAAAAAUGGUAGCAUAUUUUCAUAUUUGCUUCAGAGACGAGAUGGUGUCUGAACUGCCAAACAGCACCAGUAUUUCUAUAUGUUGAUUCUAGAUUCUGAAAUGCCAGGGGGUUCUGAUCUGGAUAACUUGAAGAAACCAAAAAACGAGAAUACAAAAGUCUUUUAUAUUUACUCACAUAUUUACUAUUUCUGGUGUUCUUCAUUUCUUUGUGUAGACCUGAGUUUCCACCUGGUAUCACCUUUCUUCAGCUUGAAAAAGAGCUUCUUUUAACAUUCUUUUAUAGUGCAGGUCUUCUGGUAACAAACUCAAUCACAGUUUGUUUGUCUGAAAGACAUUUUUAUUUCACCUUCAUUUUUUAAGGAUAUUUUCACUGGACAUAGAAUUCUUGACAGUUUUUGUCGCUGAUUCAUUCAGCACAUUAAAGAUCCCAUUCCAUUGUCUUCUGGCUUGCAGUGUUUCUAAGGGAAAAUCCGCAAUAAUUUAUCUUUAUUAAUUCUUAUCUUUGUAUGUAUGUCUUUUUACCUUGGCUCCUUUUAAGAUUUUCUCUUUAUUUCUGGUUUUUAGCAAUUCGAUUAUGAUGUAACUUUAUGUCAUUUUCCUUGUGUUUAUUCUGCUUGGGAUUCAUUGAACAUCUUAGAUCUGUGGAUUAAUAGUUUUUAUCAUAUUCAAAACAUUUUAAGUCACUAUUAUUUCAGGUAUUUUUUCUGCCCUCUUCUACUACUGCGACUUCACUUACAUAUAGGGUGGAGCACCUAAUAUUGUUGCAUAUGUCCCCAAUUCCAUGAUCCUUUUUUUAGCCCUUCUAUAUUUUAUCCUUAUGCUUUAGUUUCAAUACUUUCUAUUAUUAUGUCAUUGUGUUUAGUAAUUGUUUUCUUCUGCAAUCUUUAAUCUGCUGUUAAACCCAUCCAGAGAAUUUUUCAUUUUAUUUCUUUUCUUUGUUUGCAAUUUUCGUUUUAGAUAUUCUAUUUUUCAUCUCUAGAAGUUCCAUUUGGUUCUUCUUUUAUAUCUUCCAUUUCUCACUAUGCUCACGUUUUCUUUUAAAUCUUUGAAAAUAUUUAUAAUAGUUGUUUUAAGAUCUUCAUCUUUGUCAUUUGUGAGUCUGUUCAUAGUGACUGAUAUAUCUCUUGAUAAUAGGUCACAUUUCUCCGCUUUUUCAGAUGCCCAGUAAUUUCUUAUUGAAUGACAGACAUAUUUUAUUGAAUGCUGGAGUUGGCCGACAUUCAACCAUUUCAGGAGGUAGCAUCAGACCAAGAAUCAAUGAUAUUGAAGGAAGAAGUCUAAGCUUCACUGAAGGCACUGGUGAAAACAAGGUUCCAGAAACUGACAGAAUACCAACUGAGAUGUUUCAACAAAUGGAUGCAACACCAGAAGCACUCACUCAUCUAUGCCAAGAAAUCUGGAAGACAGCUACCUGGUCAACUGACUGGAAGAGAUCCAUAUUUGUGCCCAUUCCAAAGAAAUGUGAUCCAAAAGAUGUGGAAAUUAUUGAACAAUAUCAUUAAUAUUACACACAAGUAAACUUUUGCUGAAGAUAAUUCAAAACCAGUUGCAGCACUACUUCAACAGGGAACUGCCAGAAAUUCCAUCUAGAUUCUGAAGAGGACGUGGAACAAGGGAUAUCAUUCCUGAUGUCAGACAGAUCUUGGCUGAAAGCAGAGAAUACCAGAAAGAAGUUUAAUUGUUUUAUUGACUAUGUAAAGACAUUUGACUGUGUAGAUCAUAACAAACUAUGCAUAACAUUGAAAAGAAUGGGAAUUCCAGAAUAUGUAAUUGUGCUCAUGAGGAACCAUCUUGGGCUGGGUUCCCUAGAGAAACAAAACCAGUGUCAUGUCUAUAUAUACACACACACACACACACACACAGAGAGAGAGAGAGAAAUUUAUAUCAAGGAAAUGACUCAUGUGGUUGUAGAGGCUGGAAAGUCCCAAGUCCAUGGGUCAGGCUAGAGGUUUCUCCUGAGUCAUAUAGUUGCAGAGGCUGGCGAACCCCAAGAUUGGCAGGUCAGACAACACGGCCCUGGCUCACAGGCUGUGAAGGCCGACAAUUCUCAAGAUCGGCAGGUAAGCUGCUUGCUCCAGUCCCAAGAACUGGAGGUCAGAUGAACAGGAGCCAGCUGCAGGAUCCAGGGCGAGCAAAAGCCAGUGAGGCUUGCCAGAAAGUCCACCUAUAUUGGAUGCAGGCCAUACCCUCAAGGAAAUUCCCUUUCAAUUGAUUGGCUACUCAUAACAGACCACAUUAUGGAAAUGAUUACAUUAUUAUAUAACUGCCAAACUACAUCAUAACUGAGAACAAUGGACCAGCCAAGCUGACACACAACCUUAACGAUCACAGUAGCCUGAACAUAUAGACCAAGAGGUGGUUGUUCAAAUAGACAAAGUGAAUACUGAAUGCUUUGAAAUCAGGAAAGGUGGGUGUCUGGGUUAUAUCCUUUCACCAUACUUAUUCAAUCUGUAUGCUGGGCAAAUAAUCUGAGAAGCCAGACUAUAUGAAGAAGAACAAGGUAUCAGGAUUAGAGGAAGACUCAUUAACAACCUGCAUUAUACCAAAAGUGAAGAGGACUUAAAGCACUUACUGAUGAAGGUCAAAGACCACAGCCUUCAGUAUGGAUUACACUUCAACAUAAAGACAACAAAAAUCCUUAGAACUGUCAGCCUUGUAGCAUUUUGCCCAAUGCCUGGGCAAAUUAGUACUCAACCAACAACUCAAGGGACUCCCGAAAUAGAUUUCUGGUACUGUUUAUCUAUAUAACUCCUUCCUCUCUGGGUCACCGCCUCAUAAAUUCCAGCUUCUUUAACCUCCACAUACUAUAACCUAUGUCUCCUCAACUCAGAGACCACCAUGCUCUGCUUAGGAUUCUCUGUCCUUCCCACAAUCUUAAAAGUGCCUCCAGACAGGCAGCCAGGGUGAUCCUAUGGCUCACUUCAUUUGACUCCUUCCUUUUAGGGUUCACAGUUCUGCACUUCCUGUUUCCCAGUAUCUGAAAACAGUUGUUGCAUAUACUUUGUCCAGUUUUCUAGUUGUGUACAGCUGGAAAACAAGUCUGGUACCAGCUACUUUAUCAUGGCUAGAGGCAAAGUUGACUCUGGCUAAGCAAAAAAAAAAAAAAAAAAGUAUUGGAAGGGGCCAGAGGGAUUCACAAAAUAGAAGUAAUGGUCAAAGAACAGUCCUCAGAAGAGACAGAGACCAGACCAGCUCUGGGAAUGUAGGAGAGCUAAGAGACAAGUUUCUUCAGGGCACAGAUGCCUGGAUGGAUUAGCUCCAACCUUAUGGAGU